rnacentral:lncRNA from 1 species
GAAAGAAUUAACAAAGAGUAAUUAAUUAGCACUAGCUAGAUCAACAUUAAAUAUUAAUUACUUAUUAAGAACUAGCUAGAUAUUAAAUCUCAUAAAUGACCCAAUCUUAUUACAAAUUUACAAUCCUAUUAUUACAAUUUACAAUUAACCCGAUUAUUACAAUUUACAAGGACAAUUACUAUCCGUUGGGUGAUUAAAAUUAGAUCCGUUGAGAAAUUUCCACGACCAAUUACAAAUAGCAAACAGCCAACGACAAUCUAACUAUAUAUCCAUUCAAUCCCUCAUUCAAAUAUUUUCCUAAAGUAUCAUUCUCCUCCUGUCCGGAGGAAUCAAUGUUGUCAUCUGUGUUGCUUCAAGAUCAUUAAUCUCCACUCGUCUGAUGGAAUCACUCCAGUUAUCCGCUCUCUACUGCAAUCCUUAUAAUCAAUCUUCUGCUACUGCGAUCUCACACUCUAUCGAUAUCGUUGAAUCUGUAUAACAGUAAUAUACAUACAUAUCUAUAUAUAUAAGACCAAUUUCAGGUGAAAUCUUAAUAUUUAAAAAUUAAUAAAAACCCUCUAUGUUAACUCAUCACUUCAAAUCCUUCUUAAGUUCUUAUUUAGUUCUCGAUUUCACCUGAAUUUUCGCUAUAUAGUGUGGUUCAAUGCGCUGAAAUAUAUUUUAUUAAUUCUCACCAUUGUAUCUCCUUUAGUUAGAAGAUACUGGUACAAAAUUUUCUGACCAAAGAAUGAUAUAAGUUAUUUGAGAUUUAAUGUCUAAUACUUAAUUAUUGUACGAACCAUAAGAUUUAUAACAUUUACUGGCUAAUUGAAUGCUCAUUUGUAUAAAAAAAUUAUUGAAUUAUUUUCUUUGAACCGUACAUGUAAGGUAUUCAUAUCAAUCGUACACAUAACUAAUCUAAUCAACUUUUAAUGAAAAAAGUGAAAGACAAAUAUAAUUCAGCUAGUUAAUGAGUUGUUCAAAAAGAAAAGAUUAUCUGUACGUAUAGGUGAUAUGAUGUUGGCAGUAAUGUUUCAGAUGUCAUCGAGAUAUGUUCACAACGAGAUUCAAGUAAACGUUGUUCUAUCUUGAGUAACAUUUUCCAAACCAUAGAAUAGGCAACGAGAGGGGUGGAUUGGCUCGAUGCAUUUCAACACAUAUAGGUCGGCAUAUCUGUAUAUAUAUAGAAGAAAUA